rnacentral:lncRNA from 1 species
AUGGGAACUCCCAUAGAUCCACUUCUCAAUUUUGGUCAAGACACUGCUACCCAGAGAGGAGAACAAGGAUUAAAGAAUUCUUGGGAGAAAAUAUCAGUUAAAUGGAGCCUUAAAAGAAAUGAGCAAAUGCAUGAAAGCAAGAAACACAAAAUGCCAUAUAGUGUCUGCCUUCAUCUAGAAGUCCACGGAAACCAUGGUCAAAGUACCCAUUUAGAAAGUGGCAAGCAGAUCUGAGUGUUUGAAACUGUCAGGUUCAUCUCUAAGGUCUGACUUUCUUUCUUUCUUCCUUUCUUUCUGGUUGUACAUAACGGAAAAUCCAACUCAAAGUGGAUUAAGUAACACAGGGAAUUUAUUGCCUCACAUAACUGAGAAGUCUAGAGUAGGUUUUGUUUCAGAAGCUUGAUUGAGCGAUUAAAACAAUGUAAAUGGAAUGAAGUUGCAGCCUCUCAUUCCUCCUGAGUGGUUUCUCCAUUCUCAAAGACGUUUCUCUUGACAUUUCAAGAAGGUCUCUAGGCUACAUAUUUCUAACAGAAAAGACAAAGUCUGCUGCCUACAAUUGCGAUUCCAGAACUAAAUCUUAUUGGUCCUCCUGAUUGGCCUCCUUGGCCUAAGAUAACUGCUUGGCUUAAGUCACCGAGGACCACAACAAUCCACCUGUGGAUGGGAAUUUUGAAGUAUUUCUAGAAAAGAAGGAGAGAGGAAUGGAUGGAGCAAGGCAAACAACAAGUGAACUUAUUAUACUGGCUACACUAAGGUACUGUAUCUGAAUCUAAGCGCGCUAAGCCAAUGAGAAUGCUAAUGAGAGAUGUUAACUUUUGGAGUUUAUUAAACAUUCAAAUAUGUUUACUAAACAUUAAAUAUGGUAGGGUUUCGGGUUAUGUCCAUUUUUCUUAUAGUGUUUUAUAUAUAGUACAAAUUAUUUAUAACAUAAUAUACAAAUAAUCAGAGUGAAAAAUAUGACAGUGCACAUUUGACUCUUGUAUAUCCAAAGGUAGUUUGUUCUAUUAUGAUAUAGGUGCAAAUAAAAAUUGUUGACUUAUCCA